UACAGAGGUCUCAAGCGUUGUUCGGAUUCAUUGGGCGUAAAGGGUGCGUAGGCGGCGCGGUAAGUCGGGUGUGAAAUCUCGGAGCUCAACUCCGAGCCUGCGUUCGAUACUGGACGGCUAGAGUCUGGUAGGGGGAUCUGGAAUUCCUGGUGUAGCGGUGGAAUGCGCAGAUAUCAGGAGGAACACCGGUGGCGAAGGCGGGAUCCUGGGCCAGUACUGACGCUGAGGAGCGAAAGCGUGGGGAGCAAACAGG
rnacentral:rRNA from 1 species